rnacentral:lncRNA from 1 species
GUAUUUGUAGCUACGCUAUAUGACCGCCUGAUGGCGCCAAACCACUGCAAAAAAAGCUGUCCACCGAUAGGAAAGCGUCAGAUUGUGAAUCUUCCGGAUAGGUGUAAGGAAGAUACCGGAAAACAAAUAUCAGUGUCAAUGUUUGGUUCAGCACCCUGCAUACUGGAUACAAGACCCAGAAUUCAUUCAAUUUCAGUAGGAGGAGGGCUGUUUAUUGUAGGCGUGGCAAGGGGAGUGGCCGACCUUCAUGCUGAGAGGUCACGGAGGAGGAGCCCCAUGGAUGAGGGUAAGGAUGAGAAGGUGACAGGGAGAGGAAGGGCGGGGACCUAGUCAGUUGUACAACUGAAUGCCUUCAAUUGAAAUGAGUCUUCCGCAUUUAACCCAACACCUCUGAAUCAGAGAGGUGCGGGGGGGCUCCCUUAAUUGACAUCCAUGUCAUCGGCACACGGGGAACAGUGGGUUAACUGCCUCGCUCAGGGGCUGAACAACAUAUUUUUUACCUUGUCAGCUCGGGGAUUCAAUCCAGCAACCUUUCGGUUACUGGCCCAACGAUCUAACCACUAGGCUACCUGCCGAGCCCAUGGGUGAGUGCGGGAGGCAGGGGGAGAGAGAGGAGCUCUCUGGAUAAGGUCUAGGAGAGGAGAGGGAGAGAGAGGAGCUCUCUGGAUAAGGUCUAGGAGAGGAGAGGGAGAGAGAGGAGCUCUCUGGAUAAGGUCUAGGAGAGGAGAGGGAGAGAGAGGAGCUCUCUGGAUAAGGUCUAGGAGAGGAAGGGAGAG